rnacentral:lncRNA from 10 species
UGGGCAAGCUCCAGCUGCGCCCAGCUUACUGAACAAAGUAACGGAGAGCCUCUCGCACCACGCUGGACUCGUUUCCUGGAAAUUUGUAAAUACCAGACCACAGAGCUUGACUAAUGACUAUUGGACAUGGUGCCCACUGUGUGUGUUCAGAGAAUUGGCUUGUGUGGGAAGAACCCAAAUGUCUGGUCCUCGUGCCAAUUUGUCUUUGGACCUAAAAAUCACCAGAAAAGGGAGGCAAAGGAAAAUGACCAUGAUCCAGAUGGAGAUGGUAAGGCAGGACUGAUGACGGAGUGAGCCAAAAGUUGCCAAAUUAAGGGGAAAUUUAGGCGAUCUGCAAAGAAUCAUGAGUUUUCUCUUCCCCAGAUUGAGGCAGGAAUGGAGAAAACACUGGCUUUUGAGUUGAAAGCCCCAGACACAAGUUCCAGCUCAGCCCCAGACUACUCUGAGCUGACUUGUCCUCAGUAAAAUGCACAAAUACUUGUGAAUGGAUGCUCCAAUAACCUCAGAA